UACGAAGGGGGCUAGCGUUGCUCGGAAUCACUGGGCGUAAAGCGCACGUAGGCGGCUUUUUAAGUCAGGGGUGAAAUCCUGGAGCUCAACUCCAGAACUGCCUUUGAUACUGAGAAGCUUGAGUCCGGGAGAGGUGAGUGGAACUGCGAGUGUAGAGGUGAAAUGCGUAGAUAUCUGGAGGAACACCGGUGGCGAAGGCGGCAUCCUGGACCGGUAUUGACGCUGAGGAGCGAAAGCCAGGGGAGCAAACGGG
rnacentral:rRNA from 1 species